AUUGAACGCUGGCGGCAGGCCUAACACAUGCAAGUCGAGCGGAUGAAGGGAGCUUGCUCCUGGAUUCAGCGGCGGACGGGUGAGUAAUGCCUAGGAAUCUGCCUGGUAGUGGGGGAUAACGUCCGGAAACGGGCGCUAAUACCGCAUACGACCCGAGGGAGAAAGAGGGGGAUCUUCGGACCUCAUGCUAUCAGAUGAGCCUAGGUCGGAUAAGCUAGUUGGUGGGGUAAAGGCUUACCAAGGCGACGAUCCGUAACUGGUCUGAGAGGAUGAUCAGUCACACUGGUGCUGAGACGCGCUCCAGCCUCCUACGGGAGGCAGCGUUGGGGAAUAUUGGACAAUGGGCGAAAGCCUGAUCCAGCCAUGCCGCGUGUGUGAAGAAGGUCUUCGGAUUGUAAAGCACUUUAAGUUGGGAGGAAGGACAGUAAGUUAAUACCUUGCUGUUUUGACGUUACCAACAGAAUAAGCACCGGCUAACUUCGUG
rnacentral:rRNA from 1 species